UGAAUUAUCCUUUCGUUAUCAAAAAGAACAUUAAUAUUUUUGUAAAAUUAUUCAUCCUAUUAGUGUGACUCAUCAUCAUCCGCUUGUACGUGAAUCGUCGUAAUACCUUUAAUGAGUAUCACGAGGAAACUUCGUCGAAAUUACGAAUGAGGAUAAAAUCUAGAAUUUCUACGAACGUGGGCGAAUUCAGAAUCCUGUUCUGUGCGUUUCAAAGACGGAACGUCAAGAUGAUCCACUUGCGGUGGUAGGAACGAUUACGGGAUCCUUUGUGGAUUAAUGAAAAAUAACGCUUUGACUCUGAUCGAAUAAACAUGGAAUCAUUAAAUCAAAAUCUUCGCGGCUUUGACACGAAUUCGAUGUCCACGUGGCCGCCGCACGUGACGAACAAUACAACUCAUGGUAGUAUCAUAGACGGCGAGCUUUCAAGAUUUCCAAGGCCUUUAAGAACAUUUGCCGCGAUCGUAGCUAUACUCAUUAUGAUCACGGGUCUAGCCGGUAAUCUUCUUACCAUCGUGGCCCUUUGCAAAUAUCCUAAAGUUCGUAACGUCGCAGCAGCCUUCAUAAUAAGCCUUUGCUUGGCAGAUUUUGUGUUUUGUUCGUUGGUGUUACCCUUCGAUUCUAUCAGAUUUGUCGAUGCAAGUUGGGCGGACAUUCGAUCCUUAUGCGUCCUCGUACCGUUCUUGAGAUAUGGAAAUGUUGGAGUCAGUCUUUUAUCCGUAGCAGCUAUCACCAUUAACAGAUAUAUCAUGAUAGCUCAUCACGGAAUAUAUAGUAAGAUUUAUAAAAAACAUUGGAUCGCUGCGAUGAUCAUCUUUUGCUGGCUGUUCGCCUACGUGAUGCAAGUACCAACGUUGUUAGGCAUUUGGGGAAAGUUUGAUUACGAUAUGUAUCUAGAAACAUGUUCGAUAGUGAAAGAUGAUCAAGGCCAUACUUCAAAGAGGUUCCUGUUCGCUACGGGUUUUGUGAUACCGUGCGUAGUUAUCGUCGGUUGUUACGCGAAAAUAUUCUGGGUCGUUCACAGUUCCGAAUCGAGGAUGCGAAAACAUGCAACGCCGACAAUAAAAUCACCACACACACCUGGUAGAGAUACCAGAGAGAUCAAACAGAGACGUAGCGAAUGGAGAAUCACGAAGAUGGUACUCGCUAUCUUUCUCAGUUUUCUAGUCUGUUAUCUACCAAUCACUAUCGUAAAGAUGGUCGACGUUAAUGUUAAAUAUCCAGGUUUCCACGUUCUUGGGUAUCUUCUUCUAUACUUCGCUUCCUGCGUGAAUCCGAUAAUCUACGUUAUCAUGAAUAAGCAAUACAGACAAGCAUACGCUGGGGUGAUUGGGUGUUCGAGGAUAAGGGCGAGUCUAACACCUUUCGGGAGCAGUGCGCCCGGUCAGCACCAGCAAGACUUCGGCCAAGGUAACUUCGAGCACCGUCGCGUGGUAACGCUCUCCAAGCUCUGACCGAACACGAGCUAAGCGACCACUCGCUCACUUCGUAAGUCAAGGGCACAAGUUCGCUGCUUUCUAAGAUUGUCUUUGAUUACUCGAAGACUAUGGUAUCGACCGUUUCUAUUGCCAUGAGUCCUGUCAAAAAUAACCAGUUGGAAGAAGCUCUGUAGAAUGG
rnacentral:misc_RNA from 1 species